rnacentral:rRNA from 1 species
GUGGGGAAUUUUGGACAAUGGGCGCAAGCCUGAUCCAGCCAUGCCGCGUGCAGGAUGAAGGCCUUCGGGUUGUAAACUGCUGUUGUACGGAACGAAAAGACUCUGGUUAAUACCUGGGGUCCAUGACGGUACCGUAAGAAUAAGCACCGGCUAACUACGUGCCAGCAGCCGCGGUCAUACGUAGGGUGCGAGCGUUAAUCGGAAUUACUGGGCGUAAAGCGUGCGCAGGCGGUUAUAUAAGACAGAUGUGAAAUCCCCGGGCUCAACCUGGGAACUGCAUGUGGGACGGGAUAGCUAGAGUACGGCAGAGGGGGAUGGAAUUCCGCGUGUAGCAGUGAAAUGCGUAGAUAUGCGGAGGAACACCGAUGGCGAAGGCAAUCCCCUGGGCCUGUACUGACGCUCAUGCACGAAAGCGUGGGGAGCAAACAGGAUUAGAAACCCCUGUAGUCC